rnacentral:rRNA from 1 species
ACGCUGGCGGCGUGCCUAAUACAUGCAAGUAGAACGCUGAAGGAGGAGCUUGCACCGAGCGGAUGAGUUGCGAACGGGUGAGUAACGCGUAGGUAACCUGCCUGGUAGCGGGGGAUAACUAUUGGAAACGAUAGCUAAUACCGCAUGACAACAGUUAUUGCAUGAUAACUGUUUAAAAGGGGCAAUUGCUCCACUACCAGAUGGACCUGCGUUGUAUUAGCUAGUUGGUGAGGUAACGGCUCACCAAGGCGACGAUACAUAGCCGACCUGAGAGGGUGAUCGGCCACACUGGGACUGAGACACGGCCCAGACUCCUACGGGAGGCAGCAGUAGGGAAUCUUCGGCAAUGGACGGAAGUCUGACCGAGCAACGCCGCGUGAGUGAAGAAGGUUUUCGGAUCGUAAAGCUCUGUUGUAAGAGAAGAACGAGUGUGAGAGUGGAAAGUUCACACUGUGACGGUAUCUUACCAGAAAGGGACGGCUAACUACGUGCCAGCAGCCGCGGUAAUACGUAGGUCCCGAGCGUUGUCCGGAUUUAUUGGGCGUAAAGCGAGCGCAGGCGGUUAGAUAAGUCUGAAGUUAAAGGCUGUGGCUUAACCAUAGUACGCUUUGGAAACUGUUUAACUUGAGUGCAAGAGGGGAGAGUGGAAUUCCAUGUGUAGCGGUGAAAUGCGUAGAUAUAUGGAGGAACACCGGUGGCGAAAGCGGCUCUCUGGCUUGUAACUGACGCUGAGGCUCGAAAGCGUGGGGAGCAAACAGGAUUAGAUACCCCUGGUAGUCCACGCCGUAAACGAUGAGUGCUAGGUGUUAGACCCUUUCCGGGGUUUAGUGCCGCAGCUAACGCAUUAAGCACUCCGCCUGGGGAGUACGACCGCAAGGUUGAAACUCAAAGGAAUUGACG